rnacentral:pre_miRNA from 1 species
UAACCUCCUCAGGCUGGUGGGCCCCAGGCUGGGCAGGGAGAGUUCCUCUUUGAAAAGCUUACCUUCAAGCACAGCUAGGAGG